rnacentral:rRNA from 1 species
AGUGAACGCUAGCGGUAGGCCUAACACAUGCAAGUCGAACGGCAGCACAGUAAGAGCUUGCUCUUACGGGUGGCGAGUGGCGGACGGGUGAGGAAUACAUCGGAAUCUACUUUUUCGUGGGGGAUAACGUAGGGAAACUUACGCUAAUACCGCAUACGACCUACGGGUGAAAGCAGGGGAUCUUCGGACCUUGCGCGAUUGAAUGAGCCGAUGUCGGAUUAGCUAGUUGGCGGGGUAAAGGCCCACCAAGGCGACGAUCCGUAGCUGGUCUGAGAGGAUGAUAAGCCACACUGGAACUGAGACACGGUCCAGACUCCUACGGGAGGCAGCAGUGGGGAAUAUUGGACAAUGGGCGCAAGCCUGAUCCAGCCAUACCGCGUGGGUGAAGAAGGCCUUCGGGUUGUAAAGCCCUUUUGUUGGGAAAGAAAAGCAGCAGGUUAAUACCCCGCUGUUCUGACGGUACCCAAAGAAUAAGCACCGGCUAACUUCGUG